rnacentral:lncRNA from 1 species
GCUAAAUUCCUGUGAACAUACUAGGACAAAUUACACAGUGAUUCCGGGCAUAAAUACAUUGAAAAAUCUUGCAUAUCUGGGAAUAUACACUGGAAUUAGGGGGGAAAUUACACAAUACUGCUAGCACAAAUUACACUGUAAUCGAACAAUAAAUAACACAGUAUUUGGGAGAAUGACACAGUAAUUACAGAUAUGGGAGAAUUACACUGUAAAGCAUGUUAAUUACACUGUAAAAAUGGCAGAAUUACACUGCAAAAGGUGGGACAGUGAGGUUCUGCAAACCUAUUACACAGUAGUUACACUGUAAUUCUGGGGGUAUGAUCCACUGUACUUUUGAGCUACAUUACAUGUCUCGGGGGUAAAAUUACACAGUAAUAGAAGCAUCAAAUUCAGAGAGCUUCCUGGAACACAUUCAGACAUGCCUCAUCUACCAGGGGAAAAUCAUAAGCAGCCACCUGCAACUACAAAAAAGCAGGCCAGAUCAUCCCCAACUGUCACCUAACGGCAAGGGAACAGACACCCCAAGCUAGCAGAAAGCAGGAAAUCACCCGCUGCAACAACCAGUACGCCUACCUCCACCAUCUACAUCACAAAAUAAAACAAAUCUAAAAGCCUACAUCCACAUCUACACAGGAAAACGGAAACCCUAGAACCCGCAACUACAAAAGCUCCUACACAACGCAGGCUAGCACAAAAGGGGGCGGGCGAAAUUGGGCGGAUUCACCAAGAACAACAAACAGAACAUCCACGAAGACGAGAACUCAGCUAGAUUUGGAACUACACGACGAGAGCACAAGCGAAAACACCUGGGGCCAGCGGGGGGAUUAGGGGAACCAACCUCGGCAGCCGGGGGCAAAGAGAAUAGGGAGGACAAAAUCAAAAUCGAAUGGUGGAAUAGCUCGGAAUCGCCUCUCUCCUCCGCCUCUCUCCUUCGCCGCUCGAGCUCUCUCCCUCGGCCUUAUCGAAACAGAGCGACCCAAAUGAAAAGGGAGACGACACCCACUCGGAAAUUCAAGCAGGACAAAAACCAAUAGUACCGCGACGGGGCGGUUUCGGGUUGAGAUAAAGAAAACCGAACCCGACAACCGCAAACCAAACUGAGCGAACAGAGCGCCAGCGCAAAGAAAAAAAGAAAACGAACGUGAAUCUCCGCGCCAGAACGGACGGACAGAAAUUUGAAUGACGAUGAAUUAAAAAACAGCUGACUGUAAAAUAGCAAAUCCG